AGCUGCUAUCAAGGCUGAUCCUUUGUGUUAUGAGGCAUUGGAAUGUCUGAUAGAGAAUCACAUGCUCACUUGUGAUGAAGAGAGAACCCUGCUCUCAUGUUUGCAGUUUGGUCCUGAAGAUGGGUGGCUUUCUUCAUUCUAUUCUUGUUUGAUAAAGAAGUAUGAUAAAGAAAAUGUGGUGGAAGCUAAAUUUAGAGAGCUGGAACAGAGUGGACCUAAUACAAAGCUUUCGGACAAAUCUGUUUUGUGUACGCUUAAAUCCAACUCUGAUCUUUUAGCCUGCAAAGCUGAGUAUUAUCAUCAAUGCGGUGAAUAUCAGAAAUGCUUUGAACUAACAUCUGAAUUGCUUGAAAAGGAUCCGUUCCACCUCAAGUGUACCCUGGUGCACUUAGCAGCAGCAAUGGAG
rnacentral:misc_RNA from 1 species